GUGCUCACUUUGGUAGCACAUAUACUAAAAAUUGUAAUGAUACAGAGAUUGGCAUAGCCCCUGUUUAAGGAUGACACACAAAUUCAUUAAGCAUUCCAUAUUUUU
rnacentral:snRNA from 1 species